AAGAGAAACACGGUCAGUUAAGAGUCCUUUGGACUUCCUCCACAAGACUGUGACUAAUAGUUGUAUUCAUUAAAAGAUGCAGAUGCUUUGCUCCUAAGCGACAUACAGGCAGAGAAACAUAAUAGGGGCCGUUUAGGAAUCUGUAAUUGGUGGCAUCAAUAUUAUUUCUUUGACUAAAUGUAAAUGUAAAUGUUUAUUUCUUUGACUUAAUGUAAAUGUGAAUGUUUGCGCGCCUUUUUUGAUUUCCUGGCUAUCCCACACAAAAAACGUAAGCUAGUCUACGAAGCUAACAGGCAGAAGACUGUUUUGUCGUAAUGUGUGUGAAAAAGGGUUGAAUAUGCCAGGAGGGCAAAGAUAGACGAACCCCCCAAAACAGGAGAUCAUCUUGAAGGAUCACAUGGCUUCUUGACACUUCAAUUUAUCACGCCUACGGACAACUUAAAAUAAAUAAAAAAGUGUGUAG